rnacentral:rRNA from 1 species
AUUGAACGCUGGCGGCAUGCCUUACACAUGCAAGUCGAACGGCAGCAUAGGAGCUUGCUCCUGAUGGCGAGUGGCGAACGGGGGAGUAAUAUAUCGGGACGUGCCCUAGAGUGGGGGAUAACUAGUCGAAAGACUAGCUAAUACCGCAUACGAUCUACGGAUGAAAGUGGGGGAUCGCAAGACCUCAUGCUCCUGGAGCGGCCGAUUUCUGAUUAGCUAGUUGGUGGGGUAAAAGCUCACCAAGGCGACGAUCAGUAGCUGGUCUGAGAGGACGACCAGCCACACUGGGACGGAGACACGGCCCAGACUCCUACGGGAGGCAGCAGUGGGGAAUUUUGGACAAGGGGGGGAACCCUGAUCCAGCAAUGCCGCGUGAGUGAAGAAGGCCUUCGGGUUGUAAAGCUCUUUUGUCAGGGAAGAAACGGUUCUGGAUAAUACCUGGACUAAUGACGGUACCUGAAGAAUAAGCACCGGCUAACUACGUGCCAGCCGCCGCGGUAA